GCCGGGCGGCCCGGGGCGGUUUGCAGCCCGAGGGCGAAGGGCGCUCUGAGCUGCCGCGGUGGGCUGAGGUUCCCGCAGGAGCGGGGAUGUCCGUGGAGGCAGAAAGAGGUGCGGCACCCCCAGCGGUUCUGGGCGUGCGGCGGCCGGCAGUUCUUGUCAAGAGGAAGGACGCUCCGCUUACUGUCCUUAAAACAGGGUUUUUUUUCCCCCUUCCUUCGUUUUGGCGAUAGAACGUUGAUGUGUUUUGUACUCGUCUCUAGGAAUACAAGUAAUGGGAAAACUUUCCUUUAGCUGCGCCAUGUGCAGCGCUUUCCUUAUCCUCUCCCUUUACGUCAUCACUCCCCCGAUUUUAUCUUCCCUUAUCUGAGCUUUGCAAUCCAUCACACUUUUCUCGCACAUCUGAAGUUUGGAGCCACGGUGUUGUUUUUCCGUGCAGUGCUCUCAGGGAGGUGCUGUAACGCGGUCCUCCAUCUGCCUCAUUUCUCUGGUUAAACCAUCGGCAGCUUCUGUCUUACAUCUGGAUCCAGACCUGCUCAAUUACUCAUCUCUACAUCUCCAGUGUGCAGAAACAAGUAUUGCUAAAGCUAUUGACAGUCAUAUAAAUGAAUUUUCAAGCUUGGUUCAGAUGACAUUGCAAAGUGAACUACUUCGGAAAGAAGUUUCAUUACAGCAUUGUGUCAGCUGUUUGGGUUCUAUUGCUAUUACUAAGUGCUGCUCAAACCGACGUUACAUAAGAAACAAAGAAGGCUGCCAAUUAACAAAAACAGGUUUCUCGUGUAGUGUUACAUGGCAGAUUGUGUAUUUUUGUAACUGAUGGGUUAAGCCUGUUGGUUCUUACAGGGAAUAGAGGAACAACGUUCACUCUUUGCUUCUUGCAAGUCAUUCUGUUUCCUUUAUUCAUCUUCAGCUGAAAUUAAAUGUUUGUUUUAAUACCAGACUUUCUGGACUAUUGCCUAUAUAGGUAGCUUGUUCAAAGCCAUGAUAUAAUUGGGGUAUUUUCCUACUUUAGGAUUAAUUGCAGAUUCUGUGGAAUGUUCUUAAACGUCUCUUCCCUUGGGCCUUGUACUGCCAGCUCAGCUUUGUGAUGUAGCACAGUGCUGCUGAAACCACAGUGAGGACUUUGCGUUCUUUUCCACGGAGAGCACUGCCUUAGUUUUGCUCUUAUUAUCAAGCAAUUAGCAAUAACAGUUGUCUCCAGUAUAUAAUUCCUAGUUUGUUAAAUUUUGCUUAACAGUUGUUGCAAAUGAAACUAUGAUAAUAAUGAAUGAAAAACAAAGUAUUUGCAUAGUCCACGAGCAGAUUUUGCUAUAUGAAGGUUUUCAAGACUGUGGUGUAUUAUUCUGCCUUGAACCUAUCCUGUAAAUUGGCACAGAAGGCUGUAACUCUUGAAAUACAUUUGCUGCUCUGUUUUUCUUUCCCUUUAUCCACUGAUUGUUUUGCCCUUGGAGGGUUUUUUCAGUGCUCUGAAGCUGGUACAGGGGGACGUUAUACCAAAGAACCUGUUAAUUUCCAGCAGUAUUGAAAUGUGCUUUCCUGAUGGAGUUUGUAAUGUUAUAAAGAGGAGUGUGGUUCUCUGGUUUGGAUAUUUUAAAUGUUUUCUGUGCCUACUUUUUCAUCUUAACGACAUGGUAGGAGAACUUUCUGAGAUCUAACAGAGGCAGCUUAAUGUUUUGAGUGAAAGUGGUGGAACGCUUUUUGGAAAACUUUGUAGAGAAAAUUUGAUGCUGAAUUUUCCUUCUCCCCCCCCUCCCCACCACCUCCUCCAUAAUGAAUAAGUUACAACACUGUAUUUAUUUACUGUGGGCAUGAAGGGUUCAUGGUAUACAACACCAGACCCAGGUCUUUGUACAAAGGAGCAGUCUUGAAAUAAAUAUAUAUAUCCCGGGGCAAAGCAAACAAAUUGUUCCAAGGUUGCAUAGGAGGUUAUACUGAGGUUGAGACAAAAUGGAAGUAGUGUUAAAGAGUUAAACAAGCUUCUCUUAUCCAGGGCUUGGAAUAUAGAAGGAGAAAUUUGCAGUUGAGGAACAAAGGCGUAGAAGGAAGUGGUGAGGAAGGGAUUUUACUACAGCUACAGUAUAUGGUAUGUAAAAGAAAGCUAUUUUCAAAGCUAGAUUACAUAAAAUUUUCCCCUAAAUUACAGAAAGAAGUCAUGGUUUUAAGUGGGAGAAUCAACAGUGAAUAAAGGGGAACACUGAAAUGCCUUCUGGAAGUGGUGAGGCUUCAGGAUAAGUUGCUAUGGAAAGGCCCAGCAGUUUUGCUCUUCCCCUCACUACUUGUUGGCUUUGUCAGUACUUGCCUUAGCGUGGCCAUGUAAUGAACUGACUUAAACAACUCAUCUGAGCUAAUCUGAUUUGGCAAAGAAAGUAAUGGUUAGUGAUCAUUUUCAACUCAGGAUACUUCUCUGAUCCAUUCUGCUGAGAACAGGACAGUAACCUGUACAGCUAAUGCAACUUCUUUAUGUGGGUGUUUCUUUCAUGCAUUCUCUAUUAAAUUAUUGGAAUUUAUCAUCAUUUUACAGUAACAGUUUGUGAUAGCUGCUGUUAAACAGUCGUUUCAAAGCUGUAAGCUUUAUAUUGGUUCUGAACUGCCUCUUUAAGCCAGCUCUGCUAGUAGCACAUGGCUGGAUCAGCGGCUUUGGGCCUGCGAAGCUGGCUGUGCACAGACCUGCCAAGAAACGUCUGUUUGAUAGGAUUGUUCUGCAGCCUAUCCGAUGUGUGCACCACCACUGAGGUUGCACUGCUCUAUAAUACGCUCAGCAGAAAAGCUAGCAGUUAGGAUUUUCUGCCUUGUGAAGACUGUGAGAAAUCAGGCUUAGUGCUUCCAUGUUUUUUUUCACAAAUCAAAUGUGUCUUUUAGCAAUGUGAAGUGACUGGGAUUUUUCUUGCAUAAGAAGAAUGUAUUUUUCUGCUGUCUAGCAGUGAUCUUUCCAGAGCUGCCUGUGUGCAGUGCCGCAGAACAGUGGAGUGCUCUUUCAUCCUGAGGAGGAAGUAGAUGCAGAAAUUCUGUUCCUUUUUUUAAGCAUGCAAAGGAGCAGCAGAAGGACAACAGAUUUUCCACGCAGAAAUCUUUACUCAGGCAGACACGGAACAGAUUGUUUGGGGAUGUAAACUCGUGUUAGCUCUACUGAAAUCCAGGCACUGAUUUAUAGCUGCCAUAGCUGCUUCGAUAAACCUGUGCAGUGUGACGUGUCCUGAGGUUUCUUCCGUCUAGAUGUGCACGCCCAGGAGGGGCUGGGAGCCCUCUGUGGGUAGGUUUAACAUCUUGUCUAGGUGAAAUUACAUCGUGAAUGUAACGGUUCAUGCUGCUGAAGACUUCUCACGGAGCUCAGUGAGACACAAAGACCACUAAUGGGCCAUCAGGUGUGGUCACUAAGUAGAUGCAGAACCUCCAGCUGCUGCCGUUCCUCUGGUACCAACGCACAAAUCUUAGCUCAGUGCUGCUCCAGAUGGCUGCACAGCUUUUGGGCCGUGUUGGAUCACAUUCCUGCUGCUCAGAACACAGCCAGUGUUCAUAUCUGCAUUCCAGCAAAUGGGUUUAUGUCCUCAGCCAUGCUGCGUCUCAUACAUGAGAGAAAACAGGCUGAACUUCUUCCAGGUGCUGAAGGAUUUUUUGUUCCCUUUCUUUGUGAUAUCACAGUUUGUCCUUUCCAGUCCUGGAAUUGCUGUGUUCAGUGUGAUGUCAUUGUUCACAGCUGUGACCAUCACGCACUGUAACCAGGAAAGCCACCCUGGAGCUGUACAUCCUGCCAGAGCAGCGAUGGGGCGUGCAGCACCAGCCUUAUCCACGUGUCAUCGAGUUGGGGUCAGAAACCUCCUGCUGGGGAAAGGUCUUUUUGUAGAGAAAACUGGGCGUGCUGGGGAGGUGUUUGGUGUGUGCUGAGCACAGUGACUUUGUGUGCUCUCACAUCGUUAGCGUGAAUUACCUCAAAAUCAUAGAAUCGCAGAACUGACCGAGUUGAAAGGGGCCUUUAAGGGUCAUCUGGUCUUGCUCUUCAGCACACUUCAGUUCAGUUGUAGUUGUGCCAUUCCUGUGUGCAUCUCAUGUUUAUCUUCUGAUGCCCCAAACGUUUCCUUCUGGGGCAGUGGGGUGGAGAGGGUCGACCAUUUGAGUGAAUAACGUGAGCUGUAGCAUCAAGCUAACUUCUGUGUUGGCUGCUGCCAUUUCUGCCCGUUGUCUGCUGUUCACGGGGCAGGCACGGUUCUGCCCUCCAGUCUCUGGAAAAUACAGAAUACGGGAGACAAGUUUCAUAGCCAGAAAUCUUCUAACUUCAUUCCUGCAAGGCGGUGACUGCUCCAGUGCUCUGACAUCAGCUGCUCAAGUUAGAAGGUGAUAGAUCAGAGAUUCUGGAUGAGAGCAUUCCACUCACUAAUGACAAGGCGUUUAUUAGAACAGUUGCACACCGUGUUUCCUUCCUAGAAGAGAAAGUGCCCGAAGCAAAGAAGAGUCAUGGUGCCUUUUUAAUACCACUUUCCAACUGUUUCGAUAUGCAGUUAUCCCAUCUUUAAAAACGUCUGGGACAUACCUUAACUCUGUAAAGAACAUCAUGAAUAUGCAGUCUGGUUAACAGGCAUGGAAAGGACACGACCUCCUCCAGGAGUGGCACUUUAAGAUCUGCCAAAACUCUAUCAAACCAAAGACUUUUUCCCUAUGAACAAUGUAGGUACCAAGUAUCAAAAUCAUUGAUUUCUGUCUCUUUUAUAAAAGGCUGGGUUUGUUCUUAUGGUUCAUACUUUAUAUAUGUAAGUAGAAGCAACUGUUAUACUUCAGAUCUUUGGUUAGCAUCUGUAAAAGGAAGCUGAAACUUUCCAAUCAUGUUGUGGCCGUAUAGAGGCUGGAACAUUUAUUCUAAGAUUUGAUCACAGUAGUUUACACCAUAAGCUUACAGAACCAGCAAAGCAAAUAUAUAAAGCAUCACAUUUUUAUACUUAAAAUGAUCAGAAGCUUAAAGAAUGUGCUAGUAUUGCAUGCUAAAACUGCCAGCCUCACAAAUCAUCAGGAUACACCACAGAGCAUGAAAUCAGGGUCAGAAUUUAACAAUUCAAUAAACCACAUAUGGCCAAACCUUCUAGCACUCCAAAGCAGGAAUAGGGUUUUAAAAGCUGUUGCGUAACACAAGCUGAGUAAUAUGAAUAAACUUUUUGCAAUGUUGUUAUGGACCUUUGGAUGUGCCAUUUUGUAAGAGUCAUUCUGUUUAACCAGAACUUGAAGUAGAAUAUUCAUCUCCCCACCUGUAGCUUGUUUUUUUUUUUUUUGUCUAGGUGAACAAAAAACAAUUAUCUGAAUAAGGAAAAUUAGAAAGAGGAGGUUAUAUACGUAGGUUAGAAGAUACUUGUCUCCUUUAUGUACAGAAGAUCUCACUAUGGCAACAAAAAGGAGGUCAAGAUGGUAGAUUGCUUCUGAAAGAUAAGCAUUUCAGAUAGUUGGCUUUGCAAAUAGUACAAUUUGAAUAAAUAGAAAUAAAUGCUCUUACUUUAAAAAUGCCUGUGAAAAAAACUUAAUCUGGAGGCUCAUAUGCAAGUACUACAAUGGGAAGCAGGGAGAAAGAAGGAAAAAAAAAAGCUUAUAGUGAAUGUAAAGCUCUAUGGCUUUGAGCAACCAUGGAGUCCAAUGCUGAAAUAAGUGAACUCAACGUUUUCAUAUUUAUUAGUGGAACUGGUGAUGAAAGAUAAAGUGAAUUAAAAUACAAAGCAACAGACAGACCUAGUCAGCGUCUGUGCCCUGCAGUGCAGGCUAUCGUAAUGGAUUACUACAAAUGAACUACUGUUACAGAGAAGAAAACUAAUUACAAAAGGCACAGAAUACUCAUUAUACCAGCCAUUUUAGCAAAACAUCAGCUUCUUUAUUAACAGAAAUGAAGGAACAGUACAGACACCAUACUCCUGGAAUCUUUAGGUUCUGAUAAAAACUGAGGUAAGCUGUGUAGGAACACAGCUGGGAGAACUGUACUUGCUGAGGCACAUCUCAGCUGCAGGUCAGUGCAAGGAAGGGUGGCUCAAAGUUACAGGAAUAACAAACCCAUGAGCACCCACAGAAAUAUAGUUAAAAGUGUCAGAUAAAAAUGCAAAUACCUCUACCCAUUCUCAGGCUGUCCUUGCCAGUCUUGGGUAUUUGUCAAGACAAAUUACCAGGUCACACUCCCUUAAAGUUCUUCUUGCAUGAUGCUGUCUUGUAUCUUGAAGUAAUGUGUAUGCUCAUCAUCCACUUCCUUCUCAGGAGUUAAGCGUUUAGAUUUCAGGUAACGUUUCAGAUGAAAACACGUUUCACUUUGCUUCAAUUCAGGUAAACUGGCUAAAGGAAAUUCUUUAGCUAAGGGAUCUUUCUGUUCUCUUACGCGGGCCAAAGCUGGGAUGCAAACUGUUUUCUCAGAAUUUAUUUAAGAGGUCAGACUGAGCUGGCUACUCAGCAACAGCUAGCAUGCUUCUAGAGCCCUCACACAGAACUCUAGUAACAUAUGUACAAAUCGGAUAUCUUCCAUCUCACUUAAUUAUAACGCUCCAAUAAACUACUCUAUUAUAAACACAAUCUAGACUUAAGGCUCCUUUUUAUUGGGCCAUUUACUAUUUCUGCUUCAUGACUACUACAAAAAAUGUGCUUUGCCUCAAGUGUAGAAAGGAACUCUUGCCCAGGCUAAGGUGCAGAUUUUAAGAGCAGCUUGUUUGAAAUACUGGAGUUCAUGCUAAAACUUAAACAUGUCUUCCUUGAUAUUUCUGUUAAGUACUAAUUUUAUGCAAAACCUUUACUUUAGUCACUACGUAAAACUGUAUUUCCUAUCGUGGCAUUUUCUGGCAAAUAAAAUGUUUCCAAGUUUUUA